GUCGAGGGGUACAGGGAGCUUGCUCUGCUGACGACCGGCGCACGGGUGCGUAACGCGUAUACAAUCUGCCCCUUACUAAGGAAUAGCCCAGGGAAACUUGGAUUAAUGCCUUAUAGUAUCGAGAUAUGGCAUCAUAUUUUGAUUAAAGGUUACGGUAAGGGAUGAGUAUGCGUCCUAUUAGCUUGUUGGUGUGGUAACGGCACACCAAGGCAACGAUAGGUAGGGGCCCUGAGAGGGGGAUCCCCCACACUGGUACUGAGACACGGACCAGACUCCUACGGGAGGCAGCAGUGAGGAAUAUUGGACAAUGGGCGAGAGCCUGAUCCAGCCAUGCCGCGUGCAGGAAGACUGCCCUAUGGGUUGUAAACUGCUUUUGUACGGGAAGAAACGCCCCCACGUGUGGGGGUUUGACGGUACCGUAAGAAUAAGCAUCGGCUAACUCCGUGCCAGCAGCCGCGGUAAUACGGAGGAUGCAAGCGUUAUCCGGAAUCAUUGGGUUUAAAGGGUCCGUAGGCGGAUAAUUAAGUCAGGGGUGAAAGUCUGCAGCUCAACUGCAGGACUGCCCUUGAUACUGGUUAUCUUGAAUCGUUGUGAAGUGGCUAGAAUAUGUAGUGUAGCGGUGAAAUGCAUAGAUAUUACAUAGAAUACCGAUUGC
rnacentral:rRNA from 1 species